rnacentral:misc_RNA from 1 species
AAGUCGUAACAAGGUUUCCGUAGGUGAACCUGCGGAAGGAUCAUUACAUUCAGUAGCCUAGCUACUUGUUUAUACCCUUGUUUUUUGCGUACCUAUUGUUUCCUCGGCGGGCUUGCUCGCCGGUUGGACAAAACUAUAACCUUUUUUAAAUCUUCAAUCAGCGUCUGAAUUAUACAUAAUAAUUACAACUUUCAACAACGGAUCUCUUGGUUCUG